rnacentral:tRNA from 1 species
UACGAAGUAGCUUCAAAAUUGGGAAAGCGAUGGGAAUGCGCAUGAGAAAAACAAGACCCAUAGAUCGCAGGUUCGAAUCCUGUCUUCGUAG